rnacentral:piRNA from 1 species
UGGCAUUUCAGAUUUGGCCUUGACUUCUGU